rnacentral:misc_RNA from 1 species
CUGAGUCGUCGACACGAGUUGUUGCUGGUCCUCAAACGGGGGACAUGUGCACGCUCUGUUUACACAUCCACUCACACCUGUGCACCCUCUGUAGUUCUAUGGUCUGGGGGGCUCUGCCUCCCUUCUGUGGUUCUGCAUCUUUACACACACACACUGUAACAAAGUUUUAUGGAAUGUACAUCGCGUUUAACGCAAUAUAAUA